rnacentral:rRNA from 1 species
GUACACGAGCGGCGAACGGGUGAGUAACACGUGAGCAACCUGCCCCUGACUCUGGGAUAAGCGGUGGAAACGCCGUCUAAUACCGGAUACGACCUUCCGCCUCAUGGUGGAGGGUGGAAAGUUUUUUCGGUCAGGGAUGGGCUCGCGGCCUAUCAGCUUGUUGGUGGGGUAACGGCCUACCAAGGCGAUUACGGGUAGCCGGCCUGAGAGGGCGACCGGCCACACUGGGACUGAGACACGGCCCAGACUCCUGCGGGAGGCAGCAGUGGGGAAUAUUGCGCAAUGGGCGAAAGCCUGACGCAGCGACGCCGCGUGGGGGAUGACGGCCUUCGGGUUGUAAACCUCUUUUACCACCAACGCAGGCUCCGGGUUCUCUCGGGGUUGACGGUAGGUGGGGAAUAAGGACCGGCUAACUACGUGCCAGCAGCCGCGGUAAUACGUAGGGUCCGAGCGUUGUCCGGAAUUAUUGGGCGUAAAGAGCUCGUAGGCGGCGUGUCGCGUCUGCUGUGAAAGACCGGGGCUUAACUCCGGUUCUGCAGUGGAUACGGGCAUGCUAGAGGUAGGUAGGGGAGACUGGAAUUCCUGGUGUAGCGGUGAAAUGCGCAGAUAUCAGGAGGAACACCGGUGGCGAAGGCGGGUCUCUGGGCCUUACCUGACGCUGAGGAGCGAAAGCAUGGGGAGCGAACAGGAUUAGAUACCCUGGUAGUCCAUGCCGUAAACGUUGGGCGCUAGGUGUGGGGACUUUCCACGGUUUCCGCGCCGUAGCUAACGCAUUAAGCGCCCCGCCUGGGGAGUACGGCCGCAAGGCUAAAACUCAAAGGAAUUGACGGGGGCCCGCACAAGCGGCGGAGCAUGUUGCUUAAUUCGACGCAACGCGAAGAACCUUACCAAGGUUUGACAUCACCCGUGGACCUGUAGAGAUACAGGGUCAUUUAGUUGGUGGGUGACAGGUGGUGCAUGGCUGUCGUCAGCUCGUGUCGUGAGAUGUUGGGUUAAGUCCCGCAACGAGCGCAACCCUUGUUCCAUGUUGCCAGCACGUAAUGGUGGGGACUCAUGGGAGACUGCCGGGGUCAACUCGGAGGAAGGUGGGGACGACGUCAAGUCAUCAUGCCCCUUAUGUCUUGGGCUGCAAACAUGCUACAAUGGCCGGUACAAUGGGCGUGCGAUACCG